rnacentral:rRNA from 1 species
UACAGAGGUCUCAAGCGUUGUUCGGAUUCAUUGGGCGUAAAGGGUGCGUAGGUGGCGCGGUAAGUCGGGUGUGAAAUCUCGGAGCUUAACUCCGAAAUUGCAUUCGAUACUGCCGUGCUUGAGGACUGGAGAGGAGACUGGAAUUCAUGGUGUAGCAGUGAAAUGCGUAGAGAUCAUGAGGAAGACCAGUGGCGAAGGCGGGUCUCUGGACAGUUCCUGACACUGAGGCUCGAAAGCGUGGGGAUCAAACAGG